rnacentral:misc_RNA from 1 species
GAAAUGCGAUAAGUAGUGUGAAUUGCAGAAUUCAGUGAAUCAUCGAAUCUUUGAACGCACAUUGCGCCCCUCGGUAUUCCGUGGGGCAUGCCUGUUCGAGCGUCAUCUACACCCUCAAGCUCUGCUUGGUGUUGGGCGUCUGUCCCGCCUUCGCGCGCGGACUCGCCCCAAAUGCAUUGGCAGCGGUCCUUGCCCCCUCCCGCGCAGCACAUUGCGCUUCUCGAGGCUGCGGCGGCCCGCGUCCAACAAACUGAACCCCCCCGUCUUUGACCUCGGAUCAGGUAGGGAUACCCGCUGAACUUAAGC